rnacentral:hammerhead_ribozyme from 1 species
AUUUAGUUGACGAGUCCCAAAUAGGACGAAACGUACGUCCUGAAU